rnacentral:rRNA from 1 species
UACGGAGGGGGCAAGCGUUGUUCGGAGUUACUGGGCGUAAAGCGCGCGUAGGCGGUGCGGUAAGUCAGGGGUUAAAGGCUGCAGCUCAACUGCAGUAAGGCCUUUGAUACUAUCGCGCUAGAGUACCAGAGAGGAUGGCGGAAUUCCCGGUGUAGCGGUGAAGUGCGUAGAUAUCGGGAGGAACACCAGUAGCGAAGGCGGCCAUCUGGCUGAUAACUGACGCUGAGGUGCGAGAGCGUGGGGAGCAAACAGG